rnacentral:ribozyme from 1 species
GGGGGGGACCUGGCGGGGCAGCUGGCGGGCCGACCGCCGGUGGCGGCCGGCCUCCUGCUGGGCGGGGCGGCGGCGGCGCGGGCGC